rnacentral:rRNA from 1 species
GGUGCGUAACGCGUAUGCAACCUACCUUAAUCAGGGGGAUAGCCUCUCGAAAGAGAGAUUAACACCGCAUAAAAUCACAAGCUGGCAUCAGCAAAUGAUCAAAUAUUUAUAGGAUUAAGAUGGGCAUGCGUGACAUUAGCUAGUUGGUAAGGUAACGGCUUACCAAGGCUACGAUGUCUAGGGGAUCUGAGAGGAUGACCCCCCACACUGGUACUGAGACACGGACCAGACUCCUACGGGAGGCAGCAGUAAGGAAUAUUGGUCAAUGGGGGCAACCCUGAACCAGCCAUGCCGCGUGCAGGAAGACGGCCCUACGGGUUGUAAACUGCUUUUAUACGGGAAUAAACCCCGAUUCGUGAAUCGGGUUGAAUGUACUGUAAGAAUAAGGAUCGGCUAAC